rnacentral:rRNA from 1 species
AUGUGGAGCGCUUAGAAGUGAGAAUGCCGGUGUGAGUAGCGAAAGACGGGUGAGAAUCCCGUCCACCGAUUGACUAAGGUUUCCAGAGGAAGGCUCGUCCGCUCUGGGUUAGUCGGGUCCUAAGCUGAGGCCGACAGGCGUAGGCGAUGGAUAACAGGUUGAUAUUCCUGUACCACCUAUAAUCGUUUUAAUCGAUGGGGGGACGCAGUAGGAUAGGCGAAGCGUGCGAUUGGAUUGCACGUCUAAGCAGUAAGGCUGAGUAUUAGGCAAAUCCGGUACUCGUUAAGGCUGAGCUGUGAUGGGGAGAAGACAUUGUGUCUUCGAGUCGUUGAUUUCACACUGCCGAGAAAAGCCUCUAGAUAGAAAAUAGGUGCCCGUACCGCAAACCGACACAGGUAGUCAAGAUGAGAAUUCUAAGGUGAGCGAGCGAACUCUCGUUAAGGAACUCGGCAAAAUGACCCCGUAACUUCGGGAGAAGGGGUGCUCUUUAGGGUUAACGCCCAGAAGAGCCGCAGUGAAUAGGCCCAAGCGACUGUUUAUCAAAAACACAGGUCUCUGCUAAACCGUAAGGUGAUGUAUAGGGGCUGACGCCUGCCCGGUGCUGGAAGGUUAAGAGGAGUGGUUAGCUUCUGCGAAGCUACGAAUCGAAGCCCCAGUAAACGGCGGCCGUAACUAUAACGGUCCUAAGGUAGCGAAAUUCCUUGUCGGGUAAGUUCCGACCCGCACGAAAGGCGUAACGAUUUGGGCACUGUCUCAACGAGAGACUCGGUGAAAUCAUAGUACCUGUGAAGAUGCAGGUUACCCGCGACAGGACGGAAAGACCCCGUGGAGCUUUACUGUAGCCUGAUAUUGAAAUUCGGCACAGCUUGUACAGGAUAGGUAGGAGCCUUUGAAACGUGAGCGCUAGCUUACGUGGAGGCGCUGGUGGGAUACUACCCUAGCUGUGUUGGCUUUCUAACCCGCACCACUUAUCGUGGUGGGAGACAGUGUCAGGCGGGCAGUUUGACUGGGGCGGUCGCCUCCUAAAAGGUAACGGAGGCGCUCAAAGGUUCCCUCAGAAUGGUUGGAAAUCAUUCAUAGAGUGUAAAGGCAUAAGGGAGCUUGACUGCGAGACCUACAAGUCGAGCAGGGUCGAAAGACGGACUUAGUGAUCCGGUGGUUCCGCAUGGAAGGGCCAUCGCUCAACGGAUAAAAGCUACCCCGGGGAUAACAGGCUUAUCUCCCCCAAGAGUUCACAUCGACGGGGAGGUUUGGCACCUCGAUGUCGGCUCAUCGCAUCCUGGGGCUGUAGUCGGUCCCAAGGGUUGGGCUGUUCGCCCAUUAAAGCGGUACGCGAGCUGGGUUCAGAACGUCGUGAGACAGUUCGGUCCCUAUCCGUCGUGGGCGUAGGAAAUUUGAGAGGAGCU